CACAUGACUGUAUUGAAAAGUAUUAUGUUUAUAGGAAUGAAGACCUGGUAGGUAGCCACUGUGACAGGGUCCUACACGUACCUUUGACAUUUGCCCCAGCAGCUUUCUACCGCAGAUGACCAAGAUAUUAUCUGGACAAGUCUCUUUUCAGACCUUGCCUCUCUUUUCUAUCCAGGUAUAGCCUUUAUGAAAUAGACAACAGAUCUGCUGGUUCUGCCUUGUUCAAUUGCCCAGCUUGGUGGGCAUCCUGGAAGGAUGCUGGCAACCACCCCAAAAUAACCUGCUGCCUGCAAAGGGAUAAUAUGCCUCCACCAUUCCCUUCUCUAGAGUCCCCAACUUCUCUUAUUAUAUACUCACUUGAAUCAUACAGCUAGGCCUCGCUGCUUCUGAACAAAUUCUGUAAGAUUAGGGUUGUUUGGUCUGAGAGUAGAAAACCCAGACACCCAGACUCAUGACCCUUCUAGCCUUUUUUGGUCAUAGGUGUGUACAGUCAAACUCCAGGUCAACGUAUUUGGUAGGCAUAACAUUUAAUAUUUAUUCCACCAGAAUGUCUUUUUUUUUUUUUUUUUGAAAGCAGCUCAAGACCUCAGAGCAGAGUGGUCAUGGGUCAGGCUUUCAUAGGACAUGAAGUCACUGCAGCAAGACUGAGAGUAUAACCUGAGUGGACCCAAGCAGUGGACCCAGAUGGGCAGCAAGACUUCUGAAGUCAUUUGUUGUCUAAUUCCUGCCCAUAUAUGCUAAAAAAGAGUAUUCUAAGAUGUGUCCUUGUUUCUUUUGUUUCAUUUUGUAUUUCUUUCUUUUUAAAGAACUCCAUAAUUACAGAAAGUGGUUUACCAUUCUCUGAGAUCCCUAAAGACAAGUACAAGACAAGAAAUUUAAUUUAGCAUCAUGAGCUCUUGAUUACAAACACAGUUUGUGAGAUAGGUCACAGAAGCAAAGGGAGGUUUGUUCACCUGGUAAUUCCCUAUGGUCUGGAGAAAAUGUCAUUCAUUGAAAAAGCAGGCCUGCUCAUGUGGAGAUUAAAGCUGUAUCAGGAAAAGCUGACACAACAGUCUUUAAUUUGCAUCUUAAGGCAAGGGUAAGAAUGGCCAGUGUCUGAUAUUGCAGGAAGAUACACAUUAAGAAGUCUUUAUAGACAAAAGAGCCUUUGGUAGUAAAGUCAGAUUUUAGGACUGACAGGCAGAAUAAAGUUUUACACGUGCAAGGAUGGUGGUGGAAGAAAAAAUUUGUUAGAACAUUCUUUUGGCAGAGGGACCAUUUCACAGCUGGAAGAAAGAUGGAACAACUUUAAGAACCCAGGACACGAAAACUGUAGGAUCUCGCUUUUAUGAAUCCUAAAGGCUGAAGGGAUUCAACGCAUGCAGGGAGUGAAAGCCAAAGAUAUAUGCAGCCUUUUUGUGUAUUCAAUAGCCAGUAAUGCUUGCUCCUGUAGGCCCCAGUCUGGUGGAUAUAGGGUAAGGACUUCUAUGUGGAAAUGAUUCUGUAACCUGACCUAUGCCUGAAACUGUCUGUCAAGGUUGGCCUGAGAAGCCGGAGAAGAGCACAGUCAAAACAAAGAAGCAGGUUACCUUUCUGCUUUGGCCUGUAGAAGAGGUUGUGGAAUAGUGGGUAGACCACAAGCAUUUAAGAUUUAGCAUUGCUCAGGACAUGCUGUGUCCUGUCCUGGAACUGAUUAGACCCAUUUCUGCUUGGCUGCCAAAAUUCCAAGCUUUCAGGAAUUCUCAGAGGGUCAGGGCUACUGUCCUUGAAGCUUUCUUCCCUCUUGAAUAAAUUUCAGGUCAUCACUUACCCAUCUCUGUUCUAGGCAUUAUCUUGAUUAACUUAGUAGAAGCUGCUACAUCCUCAAAGGGCCAGUGAGCUAGCUACUCUGUUGCUCAUUCUCAGAACAACCACCUCAACAAUAGCGCCUUAGCGCUACUCUGAAAGAAAAGUCUGAAGAUAAAAGCUUCAUAUUGAUAUCUGGUCAUACUUGGGCUGGACCUGACUAUAAAGAUAGGGAUUCUACUUCCUUACUGUGCUUUAGAAGGUCAGGAUAUUGACUUCUUGGGAACACCAAUGGACCAGGGACAGGCUGGUGGCCAGAAGCCUGGAGCACAGCAAGUUCCACUGGGCUAACUUUGGUUUUGGCUGUGACCAAGGCACUACGCCUUCUAACUUAAUCCAGGUGUUCUCCCUUGUCUUCAUCUUUAAACUUCUUCCUUUUUUUUUUUUUUUUUUUUUUUCUUCUUGAGCAGAAGGAAGAAAAGUGAGUUGAGCCAGUCCCACACAGUGCCCUCCUGUGCCUCACAAGGAAUAGUGCUCUGGCAUCCCAUGGUCCAUAAUUUUUCUCAUCCUGAGACUCACCAGCAGGAACCAUGAUAAAGAUGGGGAGAAGGGAAAGACAACUCUUCAGUGGAGUGUAUCCAAUAAUGCACUUAAAUGUCUAGGUGAUACCUCUCAGCAACUUACCAUGGAAACUCUAGGUGAGAAAAUUUCAAGAGAAAUUGCACUUGAAAGCAUAUAGCAACAAUACUCUGUCUUAUCAAUGUUUAAUAGCUCCUGAAUAAAGCUGGGGGGGGUGGUUAAAAUAACCAAGAAAAUUAUAAAUGCUGAAAAGGUAUCAUUUUGGCUUUUAAAAAUAACAUGAUAUGUGAAUAUUUGAAUGUGGUAAUGCACCUGUUAGCUAUCACAGAUAGAAUGAUUCUUGAAGAAUAAAUAAUAUGAGAAGUAGUAAAGAAAAACAAUUUCAUUAUGACUGUAAGUACCACACAGUAGUCUUUAUUGUGAAAUUUUGUGUAAUAAAGACCCUCACAAAUUAAGAUUGUAUACAGUAUUAAGGUGCAGAUUUUUCAGUUCAGUAAAACUGACUUAAGUAAGGUUAUUUCUGGAUAAGAGUUUAAGAAGUAUGUCUCUGUGAUGGUGCUUCAAAACUCUCCCAGAAAUUAAGUUUUAAAAGCUCUACUUUCAAUUCUGGCUUAGCAUCAUACAAUAAAAGCAUUUAUUUAAUAUUCAACAAAUGCUGAGCAAAGUUUACGAAUUUGUACACCAAGAAAAUCUAAUAUCUACACUCUACUCAUUGAAGCUCAUUUAAAAAUAGCUGGAUGUGCAAAAUUUUGUCUCUGUGCCAGUAAAAUUUGAGCUAACAGCUCUCAGUCUGCAGUUACAAAAAUUAAACAACUUAAGAGACGGUACACAGAGGUUGUUUUUGACUUAUUUAUUAGUUUUUUUCUAUAUCAGAUUGGCAGUAAUGGAAGAAAUACAAUAUAUUGUUCAGAGCUAGAAGGAAGAAACACGGGAAAUCACGGGUGAGCUGGGACAGAGGACCUAAGAAAUGGUGUCAUGUUUUGUAUAAAGACACUUAGGCAGAGAUGAAAUUUUACCACAUAUGUAUCACUGGAAGGAGGUAGGAGUGGUGAGAUUAAAGUCAUAUGCUUACAGGGUGGACACUUUGUGAAGAGGAGAAAACAUUGGGAAAAACAACUAAAAGUUAAGUAAGAAAACUCAGAAAAGACAGCGUCAACUUAAGAAAAAAAGGUGAAAAUAUCAGAAAUAAAAUCACAUUGGAACAGCCCCAUGCUAUUUAUUUAUGGAGAGUUACAAGAUAAUGUAUAAAGCUCUCAUGUCUUUGCACUGCUGCUUAGAACAUUACUAAUCACAAUAUAGCUGUUUUAACUUAAAAGUGUUUCAAAGGACAUAAUGAUUUCAUAGGGCUUUGAUUUAUCUUUUGCUUCUCACCACUGUACAUCAAUCACACCCCUAUGCAAACAUACACCCUCACACACAUAGAAAUAGCUGAUUGUCAAACAUGGUGCAGAGUGAAUAGUUUUUAUAUUAAGUAAAAUGGCAAACCUUCGUGUUCAUUGUACAAUAACAUUUUAGCUGUUAAAAAUAUAAGAUUGAGGAUGAUGAAAGCAAGAUAGUGAAAUAUGAGGUCACCAUUCUGUAUCCCUUUAAAACGCAAGAAUUCUGCACCCAUUCACAGACAUAAGUUUCUUUAUUUCUUGAUAAAAUAAUUGGGAUUCAGCUAUGAGAUCUGUAAAAUGCUGGUGUAGCCCAAAAAUUAUGAUUUUUGAGACUGCAAAUAAACAUUCCUAUGGCAGACAAGUCAUUUGUUUUCUUUAAUUUAGACUCAGGACUGGUCCCUUUGGCUGGGUUAAAUUCACAUGUAUUCCUGGAGCCUGAUCACAAAACUGUCUUUUAUAAGAUGCAGAAGAAUCAUGUGCAGUAGAGCCUAAACAGAAUGAAGUCUGCCUGCUGACCCUUGUCUUGGCAGUGGACCCUAAUGUUAUCUUAUAAAAUGGAUACUCUCCUUUUUAAGGCAUGGUUUCAGGUUAUUUUUUCUCCCCUGAGGAGCCUAAAGAGAACUCAUCUAUCUGUGCCACCAGGAUUGGCUUGCUUCUCUCUAUUCAAGAGCAGAUCCACUCUGUGGUAGGCAGAGUUUCUAUGCCUGUGCAGCGAACUAAGCAGUAAACCCAGACAAGUUUGCCUGCUUCUAUCUGUCAGCAGUUACUGAUGAGACUGUGUCAACUUCACUGCCAAAGUCCCAGAUUUACACUGUAUCGAUAGAGAAUUAUAAGUUACAACUAGAUAGUCUUGAAGUCCUUAAGCCAAAGAAUAUUCUGGAAGGUGAUUGAUUAGAUUGACACAAGCAUCUCUGAACUUGCAUUUGUGAGCAAUUUUGCCUGCAAAAGAAAUUUUUCUUAGUGUUACAUCAAAAAAGCCACCAAAAAUAGUUUUUGUUUUUUACCUUAAUCUCAAUUUCAGCUCCCGCUAUAGUCUGGGAAAAUUUAAAACCAAAGAAACAACACAUGGGAAUUCUUAACAAACUCUUGUUCAGUUAUGACUUUUAGUAGGUCCUCUAAUAUAUACAGAUCUUACUAUUGAUUUUUGUUGUUUGCAGAUACAUGAGAUAUUUUGCCUACUAUGGGUCCAUGAGAGAAUCAGGUCCAGCAGUGUCCUACAGAUGGAUACCCUCACUUUGGAUCCACUGUGAAUUUUGAAACAAGUGCGUAAAUAGUCUCUGCCACAGACUCAGAGCAGGAGUGGUAACUCCAAAACACAGCAGGACAUAUCUUAAUUUUGACGCCAGAGGAAGGUUUAGAUAUUUUAGUCUUGGAUGACAUAACAUUGUGUCUCAAUUCUAGCGUGUCUCAGCAAAAGAAUGAAGCAAUAUGAGAGGCCCAGGGACCUGUCUGUACAUAACAGUAGUUCUCCCAACUACCAUAGAUAGCCACACAUUUCAGCACAAGUGCUGAAAACCCCACUGUUUGCAAGUUGUGAAGAAAAUAUUUGUCUUAGUGCCAGGCCUGAAGUCCAGGACCUUGGAGACAGACAGAUCUACCCAGGAUACAGAUAGAACUCCAGACUAUUAGUUCUCCUGGUAACUAGACUAUAAAAUUCAGUUUGUAUUGUGUACCAAGUUCAGCCAGGAGACCUACUUAAAACUCACAGAACUGUAAUCUCAAAGGCAAUAUCUUCAGCACAAAAGCCUAUUGGAGGAAAACUUCAAACCUACACCAGUUUGUAAGACUCAAUGGAAACAGAGAUAAAGAAUAUUAAUAAAACUAAUAAAGAAUACUAAUACAUCUUUUUAAAAGUUACAUAAAGGAAUGCAUGUGAAUUUCCUGAAAUAGAAUUAAACACAAUUAUUAUAAAACACUCCUCAGAUGCAAAAGAAACCCCAAAAAUGCAGGAACAAAUAAAAAUAUUGGAAAACUAUGCAUAUACAAAAUUUAAAGUUCAAUGAAUAAAUAAAAAUUUGGAGAGAAAAGAAACAAAAUGGUAGAAUAGAAAUCUUAACUGAUUGCAGCCCUCCACCUCACCCCAGGAACAUCAAGUUACCGAUUAUCUGCACAGAAAAGAAAAACAAAGAAAACACACACCUUCAUAAGAACCAAAAAUCAGGUGAUCACUCACAGUAACUAAUUUUAACUUCGUAUCACUGAAAGAGGCACUGAAGAUUUGAAACAAAAACAAAAAACAAACAAACAACAAUAAUACCAGCCCUGAUUCCCCAAGGCCACCUCUCCCUGAUCCUUGGUACCAACUGUGUAGGCAGAAAGCAUAUGUGGGCACUGGUGUAGAAAGAACAGAGCAAUCUCAAGGCAGUGAACUCAGUGCUGUCCUAUUAAAGGAGAGAAGAAAACCAGAACAAACUCAGCUGAUGCCCACCCACAGAAGGAGCAUUGAAACUAUCCCUAGCUACAGGGAAUUUCCAGUGCUAGUGGUCUGAACUUGAGUGCCCACAAACCUCUCCAUAGAGGGCCAAAAUGCUCUUGAAAUCUAAGUAAACUUGAAUAGUAUUCUAAGCCACUGCAUCUCUUAAGUUCUGUUGCUGAAGUAGGCCCAGAAACAGUGGACUUGAGUGGAACAAGGGGCACCAGCCAAGGCAGAAAAGGGAGCCCUGACAUCACCUCUGUGCUAACCCUAAGCUUCUUAGCUCAUGGCUCCAAAAAAGGCUGCUUUCCUCCACUUAUGGGGAGGACAUGAAAGGGUACAAAGGACUUUAUUUUGCAUCUACACACUGUUCAGCCACAGCAGGUUAAGGUACCGUACACAGUUUUGAGGCUGCCAUUUUUGGUCUUAGCUCCCAGAUGGCAUUUCUUGACACACCCUGGGCCAGAAGGGAAACUGAUGCCUUGAAGGAAAGGACUCAGUCCAGUCAACAUUUGUUGCCUGCUAACUGAAGAAACCUUGGGCUCUGAAUAAACAGCAGUGUUACCCAGGUAUUACAUUAAGGGCCUUGGUGACACUCUGAGAUUUGCUGGCUUCAGGAGAAAUGUAGCACAUAACCAACCGUAGUGGCAAUGGAGCAAAACAACUUCUACUCUACAAAACUGGAGAGAAACUUAAAGGGGACUUUGUCUUCUUGCAGUUUAGGUACCAACACUGCCACAGGGGCUAGGCACAAAAUGAGCUCUUAAAAUCCCUGAUUCCAAGACUUGACUCUUGGAUGGCAUUUGUGGACCUUCUUCCCAGGAAGAAGCCCACUGCCCUGAAGGGUGAAUCCCAGGUCAGGCAGCAUUUACCAAAAGCUAACCUAAAAGACGUCAGGCCUUAAGAAAACAUCUGUGGUAGUCUGGCAGUACUCGUUUUGGCCAGGGGUAGUAGUGGUAACUAUGGGAUAAGAAUUAUCUGCCUUUGGAAAGUAGAGGGAAGAGUGGGAAGAACUGCAGCUUAUGGUUUGGGUGGCAGCUCGCCUCAAUAUCGUAGAGUACCAACUAGACUUCUAAGGUUUUUGAAUCCAGCCCUGACUCUAAGAUGGCACUUCUGACACACAUGGGAUCUAGGGGACCUCACUGCCCUAAAUGGAAGAACAAAGGCCUGCCUUUGCUACCUGCUAAUUGUAGAGCCCCACGCCCUUGAAUUAACAUAGGCAGUAACCAGGGAUUGGUUAUAGCAGGCCUUGGGUGAGACCCAGCAUUGUGCUGGCUUCAGUUCUGACCCAGCAUAAUCACAGGGGUAGUGGCCACAGGAGUACUUGUGUCACUCCAUAACUAGUUUUAGAUGACUCAGAACAUAGAAAGAGACUCUGUAUGUUUGGGAGAAAGUAAGGAAAGAGAACAAAAGUGUCUGCCUGGUAAUCCAGAUAACUCUUCCAGAUUCUGUCCAAGACUGUCAAGGCAGUACCUCUACGACUCCAGAAGAACCAUGGAGUUUUGGGGCUUGUGGUACUUCCUAAAGCAGGCACAGCUUAGAUCACAACGUCCAAGUCUUUUCCAAUACCUGGAAAGGCUUUUCCAAAAAAAAAAAAAAAAAAAAAAAAAAAGACUCUAAAUAAGC